rnacentral:rRNA from 1 species
GACGAACGCUGGCGGCGUGCUUAACACAUGCAAGUCGAACGGUAAGGCCCUUCGGGGUACACGAGUGGCGAACGGGUGAGUAACACGUGGGUGAUCUGCCCUGCACUUCGGGAUAAGCCUGGGAAACUGGGUCUAAUACCGGAUAGGACCACUGCCUGCAUGGGUGGUGGUGGAAAGCUUUUGCGGUGUGGGAUGGGCCCGCGGCCUAUCAGCUGGUUGGUGGGGUGAUGGCCGCCCAAGGCGACGACGGGUAGCCGGCCUGAGAGGGUGACCGGCCACACGGGGACUGAGAUACGGCCCAGACUCCUACGGGAGGCAGCAGUGGGGAAUAUUGCACAAUGGGCGCAAGCCUGAUGCAGCGACGCCGCGUGAGGGAUGACGGCCUUCGGGUUGUAAACCUCUUUCAGCACCGACGAAGCGCAAGUGACGGUAGGUGCAGAAGAAGGACCGGCCAACUACGUGCCAGCCGCCGCCGUAA